rfam:Puccinia triticina 1-1 BBBD Race 1 supercont2.1120, whole genome shotgun sequence.
GCGUCUGUAGCCUAGUUGGUAAAGGCAGCACUCUAGUAUGUGUCUCAGCAUAGCUGAGGCUGUGAGUUCGACUCUCACCAGACACA